AACGUAGGACGCAAGCGUUAUCCGGAGUUACUGGGCGUAAAGCGCGGGCAGGCGGCUCUGUAAGUCUGAUGUGAAAGCGCCCGGCUCAACCGGGCGAGGCCAUUGGAAACUUCAGGGCUGGAGGGCAGUAGAGGCAGGCGGAAUUCCGGGUGGAGUGGUGAAAUGCGUAGAGAUCCGGAGGAACACCAGAGGCGAAGGCGGCCUGCUGGGCUGCACCUGACGCUGAACCGCGAAAGCCAGGGGAGCGAACGGG
rnacentral:rRNA from 1 species